UCCACAUCCUCAGCUCAAGCGAUUCUCAUGCCUCAGCCUCCGGUAAAGCUGGGAUUACAGGCAUGCACCACCACACCUGGCUAAUGUUUCGUAUUUUUAGUAGAGACAGGGUUUCACCAUGUUGGCCAGGCUGGCCUCAAACCCCUGACCUCAUGUAAUCUACUCGCCUCGGCAUCCCAAAGUGCUGGGAUUACAGGCAUGACCCACUGCACCCAGCCAGCACUGUUCUGAAUCAAUAAAAAUGAUCUCAGCUUAAAUCUUCCAUUUGAUUAAGAACUUAAUUUAAAAUUUUUAUUUUUGAGGCACCGUCUAAACUUCUGGGCUCAAGUAAUUUUUCUGCAUUGGCCUCCCACAGUGCAGGAAUUACAAGCAUGAGCUGCUGCAUCCAGUACUUUUAAAUUUUUUAAUGAGAUUUUUAUUUGGCUACAUAUUACUUGAAUUCACUUUAGUCAAUAAUUUUCAUUGUUACUUACAAUGCUCAGAAAAUACUACCCUCCUGGGUUUGUGCUUUCAUAAAUUCAGUGACAUAUAUUAGGCCCAAAACCUUUCCAUUUAAAAUAAUUGUCUGGUGUUUGAAAAUAAUGGGUAUUUUUAGUUUACUAGCCAAAAGUGCUGCCCAUUUAUUUAUAUGCCUAAUUAGUCAAACUUUCUAAUAAAGUUAUUUAACAUUAUUUAUGUUCAUAUCAUUAUUGCAUACCAAAAGAUUUAAUUUCUUUAAUUACAUUAAUGGCCCUAAUGUAACUUAGUGUAAGUAAAAACGUAACAGAGGCUGGGGAAGAAGUGGUUGAAGAAAGAAAAAAUGUUGAUGGAAGUGUACCACGUUUCACUUAGGAGAAAUAAGAUUUAGUGAUUAAUUGCACAGAAUAUUGACUAUAAUAAAUAAUAAUGCAGUGUAUAUUUCAAAAUUGGUAUAAAAAUAUUUUAAAUGUUUUUGCCACAAAAGUAUAAUAAGUAUGUGAGGUGCUGAAUUUGUUACUUAGCUUGAUUUAAACAUUUUACAGCAUAAACAUAAAAAUAUGACAGUGUACCCAACAAAUACAUACUUAGGAUGUUAUAAUUGUAUAAUUAUAUUAUAUUGAGACAGAGUCUUGCUCUGUCACCAGGCUGAAGUGCAGUGGAAUGAUUUUGGCUCACUGCAACCUCCGCCUCCCGAGUUCAAGCAAUUCCCCUGUCUCAGCUUCCUGAGUAGCUGGGAUCAUAGGUGCGUGCCACCAUGCCUGGCUAAUUUUUGUAUUUUUAGUAGAGAUGGGGUUUCACCAUGUUGGUCAGGCUGGUCUCAAACUCUUGACCUCGUAAUCCACCCACCUUGGCCUGCCAAAGUGCUGGGAUUACAGGCGUGAGCCACCGUGCACAGCCAAUAAUCACUAUUUUUAUACAGAAAAUACAGAGUUUUUUAAAGAGAGAAGAGAUUAAUUAUAGAAGACAGAGACAAGUAUAAUUUAUUGUGAUUGGAACUAAAUGCUAUCAGAAGAUUUACUAUGUAUGUGAAAUUCUUUGACAAACUUCAUGAACUUCAACUGGCCACAGGAAAUCUCAUUGUGCUCCUCUUUCUUUUUAAAGACAGAAUCAACUUUACUACAUUGCAAUAAUUUUUCUUAGGGUAAAAGUUGGGAUUCACAAUUAUCUCUGGAUUAAUGGUGAAUGUAUUUGAAAAAUUCUCUGAUAGUCCUGACUAAUCUUAGUAGGUCUAGUUUGGUUCUUAUUGAAUUGGAUCACCUCAUAGUCCCUUAAUAAGCCAACUUUAAGAGAAAUAUACUUUCUGUUUUUUGAGAAUUGUUUGAGUCACUGCCUGAUGCAAGUAACAGACAUAGACAUGAACAGGUUACAAAAGAUAAAUAAUGUCCUUAAUGUACCUAAAAAAACUUUUUUAAACUGAAUCUCUUAGGACUCAUCCCAUGUAGAUGAGUCCAAAAAACACAAUAAUAACUAAUAAAAUACAAUUUUCUGCAAUGGAACAUAUCUGAGUAUCACUAAAAAUGACAAAGUUGUCCAGGCGUCGUGGCUCAUGCCUGUAAUCCCAGCACUUUGGGAGGCUGAGGUGGGUGGUUCACAAGGUCAGGAAUUCAAGACCAGCCUGGCCAACAUGGUGAAACACCAUCUCUACUAAAAAUACAAAAAUUAGCCAGGUGUGGUGGUGUGUGCCUGUAAUCCAGGCUACUUGGGAGGCUGAGACAGAAGAAUCAUUUGAACCCAGGAGGUGGAGGUGGCAGUGAACUGAGAUCACAUCACUGCACUAGAAAUAAAAAAGAAGAUAUAAAAAAAUGAAAGAGAAAGAAGAAAGCCACAAUAGCCAAGAUAUGGAAUCAACCUAAAUGUUCAUCAACAGUUGAAUGAAUAAAGAAAAUGUGGUAUAUUUACACAAUGGAAUGCUAUUCAGCCCUUAAAAAGAAGAAAGCCUUGUUAUUUGCAAAAAGCUUAUUGAACCUGAAGGACAUUAUGCUAAGUAAAAUAAGCCAGCAUUGAAAAAAAUUUUUAAAAAGAUCUCAUUUCUAUGCAGAGUGUAAAAGAAAAUUCAAACUAAUAGAAGCAGAGAGUAGAAUAAUGAUUGCCUGCGACAGGGGGUGAAAAAGAUUUUGGCCAAACAUAAUGGGUCUUCCCUACAUCUAUUACCUUAACAAAUGUUAUUCUCCUUGUAGUUUUGAUUCACUGGGGAACUGAAUCAUAUCCUGAAGACUCAAAACUGAAGGAAUAAUAUAUUUGUUAAAGCAAUGCAGAUUGUAUACUGACAUUUCAGAGGCUUAGCAAAAUAAUAUAUUUUCUUCUCACAUUAUCCCUUAUGGUUUUUUCCUUGAUAAAAAGACUUCCCCAUGAUUUUUUAGUAAUCAUGUCUUCUUUCAUCUUCUAUCUGCAUCCUCCUCUUUCUUCUGUGAAUAAAUUAACAAAGAGAUGUAGAAAAGACACAUUUGCUUUUUAUCCACACAUCACUUCCACUCACUAUUAGUCAAUGUAAGUAGAGCUGAGAAUAGCAGUUUUCUGGCAGGACACUUCUCAGCAAUAAAUAAAACCCUGAAAGAAAAGUGUAGAUUUUUCAUGAAAAGCUAAUGUAUUUUAAGCAAAACAAGCAUAUUCAUCAGAAAUAAAAUGCUUGUGGCAAAAUAUAGAUUCAUUUCAUUGAUUUCUAUGGAGCUCGGGUAAUAUUUGACCAAAAGCUAGGCAAUAUGCACAGAAAAAGGAAUAUUUUUUGAAAUAAGAAUAUUGUGAAGUUGUUCUGUCAAAAGAAGUAAAAAUAUUAUGAUCUCAUACUAAUAGUCUCAUCUAUAGUUCUACAAUAUCAAACGCUUUUUAUUAAAAUUUGUAUUUUAUAUAGGUAUCCAAUUUAUAUCACCCUCCUUUGCUAUUUCAAUGCUGUCUCCACUUUAUAUCAGUGGGAAACAGGCCACCUGGUCCCAGGAAAGCAUGUGGUGCUAUUGCGACUUUAACGAUGAUGAUGAAAAGCACUUGUUUGGGUGGUACUGAUGUGCCACUGUUAUUUUGCCCAAAGCACUGUUUUUUUUUAAUUCUUCUCUAAAUUUACUGAUAAAAUAAAAUUCUUUUUUUUUUUUUUUUUUUUUUUAAAUUUAUUUUUUUAUUGAUAAUUCUUGGUUGUUUCUCACAGAGGGGGAUUUGGCAGGGUCAUGGGACAAUAGUGGAGGGAAG
rnacentral:lncRNA from 1 species